rnacentral:misc_RNA from 1 species
AAGUCGUAACAAGGUUUCCGUAGGUGAACCUGCGGAAGGAUCAUUAACGAGUAAGGGUCCUGACCGGCCCGACCUCCAAGCCCUUUGUCGUUGAAAAACCACUGUUGCUUUGGCGGGACAGCGGGUCCCCAGGGGCCCGCCGUCCGGUCUUCGGCCCGGCGAGCCGCCUGCCAGUAGUCCAACCGAUAAUCUUGUCAUAGAACAAGUACGUCUGAUGUAAAUUGAUAAAUCAAUCAAAA